rnacentral:tRNA from 1 species
CCACCCUUAGCUCAGUUGGUAGAGCAUCCGUCUUAUACACGGAAGUGCCCUGGUUCGAGCCCAGGAGGGUGGA